AUAAAAGGCAAAAAAAAA
rnacentral:sRNA from 1 species